rnacentral:tRNA from 1 species
UGGUGGUUCAAGUGUUAGAAUUCUUGCCAUCCAUGCAGGAGACCUGGGUUCAAUUCCCAGCCA